CGACACAUGUAAGUGAGUGUCCCUUUUACCGUAUCUGGACGUCACCUUCUUCCUCGCACCCCGUUCUCCAACGGUAGCGAGCGACCACCGCCGUCAUUGUGCUGUGGAAAUUCGCGAAUUGUGUUGAAACGACGAGAAGUUGGACGCGCGACGGCGAGUCAAGUGACAGUGUGCCGACGGAGCGACUUCGACCGGAAGCGAAGCAACGACGAAUCGCGCUAGGAUGAAAACAAGGAAACUCAAUUUGUGUGGAUACCUGGACAGUACCGGAAUUAGCGGAAUGCUCCAUGAAAGCUCGGUCGUGUGUAAAACUUAGGGUUGCCAUGUGUCCUACUUCUCGUUGAGCAGUCUAACAACUCCGCGUAUAACUGUCAUGUAACUACGUUUAAAUGCCCUUCGAAAACAACAAAUCCAAAUUUAUAUAGAAAUGUGCAAAAAACGACGAUAAACAUCAAAUAAAAAUAGAUUCUUUUACACGUCUUCUUUCUCUUAAUUACGUACACAUGUUUCCAUGCAUUGUCUUUAAAAAUGAUGGCAACCCUAGUAAGACAUGAAGCCGCGUGGCAAUAACAUAUAUUUAGGAGUAACGAUACAUGAUUUCGAUAAAAAUGGUCCUCGAUAAUCUCACUGUGAUGUCGGCCAUUGAUGAGUUGGUGGACGACGUUCAAUCGAACAGCACCAACGUGACGGAUUUUCCUGAUUACGAUAUCAACGAUUCCUUCAAUCACUUUGAAUGGGCGGAAUUGGCUCCUGUUUUGGUCGUCUACACCUUGACGUUCUUUCUCGGAUUAAUCGGUAACGUCAUUAUCAUUGCUUCGACUCUUUGUCGACUCAGGCCAUUGCCGGCGACACCGACGAACGUUUUCUUGGGCGGUCUGGCUACAGCUGAUCUUCUGUUAAUUAUAUUCUGCAUACCCGUGAAAAUAGCGAAACUGUUCUCUUACACAUGGACCAUGGGUAUCUUUCUAUGCAAAGCGGUGCAUUACAUGCAGAGCGUGUCGGCAAUCUGCUCGGUCGUCACCCUCACUGCGAUGUCGAUUGAGAGGUAUUACGCCAUAGUGCAUCCAAUGAGAGCGCAGUAUAUAUGUACCAUAAGCCAAGCUCGUAAGAUCGUAAUCAUAACUUGGAUAGCAGCAUUUCUACUGGGAAUACCCAUGACGUUUACACAGACACACAAGGAAGUCGGGGUGAGGAGAAUCGCCUAUUGGUGCGUUCGCAAUUCCGAAGCCGGACUUCUGUGGAGAUCUCACGAAGUUUACAUGCUCAUUGUGGUCCUCGUGCUACCGCUGAUCAUCAUGGCGUUCUGUUACACGAGCAUCUGCUGGGAGAUUUGGCGCGUUAUGAAACGUCGAUAUCAUAUGACGUCGCGGCAUGCAUUAAAUCCAAACAGUGCAGAUACGGAAUCUAUUCCUAUGACCCAACGGCAGGGUGGAAACGAACGCAAAUCACGCCGGGACGAAAAAGACGAAGAAUCACGGACUAUGAAGCAGGUGGUGAAAAUGCUGGUGGCAGUCGUGGUGCUGUUCGCCAUUUGUUGGGCCCCGAUGCUAAUUGACAAUGUGCUGACUGCUUAUGGCUACUUGCCGCGCGUCAAGAGUGGGGUGCAUAAGCAUCUCAAUACCGCGUUUCAGUUGAUGGCUUAUUUUAACAGCUGUAUAAACCCGAUAGUUUACGGGUUUAUGUCGAAGCACUUCAGGGAGAACUUCCUGUCGGCUGCCUGCGGCGGAUGGUGGAUUUUCUGCCCUAGAAGAGGUUACCGAGCAUCUGUAACGAGGAACCCAAGUCUCAGCCAGACCAGAAGCACCAGCGUUAGGUGGAUCCGAAACUCCUUUGGGGAGUCAAAGUUCCGAAACUCGAGCGACCCGCAUCCCGUAGACCACCCGUGACACGCUUGCGGGGUUCGCAAGUUCCCCGACAGCGAGAGACCCCCCGAAAGUGCAUGUGCGACGAAUGUCCGGCUAGGGUAGACGAAUGGAGCACGAUUCGAUCUCGAGAUGGACCUGAUUCUUUCUUCAUCCUCGGACCAGGUCUUCGAGGGAGAUUUCUGUCAGAUAGGAGACUUCCGACAGUGUGACGUGAAUAAAAUCAGGAGAGAAUGCGAUUACAGAACUUACGGAAAUAGGACACUAUUGCUCCAAUUUUUCAGUCACCUGCGAACGGAGCGGUUCGAGAAGAUUGAAUACAAGUGAUAGAACUUUCGUGAAUUUUGAUUAGCGGGUUGAGACUACUCGCUGGAUUAUUCCGCGUAGGUAACGUAAGUUGCCGAUUAUGCUCAUCAUCUGUUCAUUAUCCUCGUCGCAUCUUGGAACAAGGCGUUAUCGCUUACUCGUCCUGUGGGUGGGACAAUUGGACGGGUUGAUUUAAUUGGACAUUCGGACAAUUGGAUAUUUAAGGGUACGGUUAAUCCGUGCUAGGUAAGCGAAUAAGGCGAGUGGGCAGUGCGGACGCCCACAAUGGCCACACACAGUGUAAUAUAAAGCCCUAUAAAUACGCGUAUAAGCUUAAAAUCGCCUAAUUUAGAAAUCCCGCAAAGUAAACGCGCUGAAAUUACUUGAUGCAGGACCAUUAAUUUUAAGAGACGAACCAGACCUUGAAAAGAUUUGUUCGUUGUCGAUAUAUUAAAUGUUAAAUCUUGAAAUGUUGAUAAGUAUCCCUUUAAUCUACGGAGAACUGUUCAAGAAUUAUAUAAGAAUGACGUAAGAAAUAAGAACGAAAUACUCUUCCACCGUUUAGCAGCGCUAGACGCUCUGCCCGAUCUUAAGAGUUUGUUCUCCUUCGUACAAUGUUCACUACCUCAGCAAAACUUGAGAGUGGACAGUGCAUGUUUAGUUGCGAAUGCUAUCGGUCUGAUUCUCAUUCAGUAUUUAUGCUAAAUAUUGUUCUCGCGUUAACCAAAGAAAGAAGUAGAAUCCGAUGUUUGUCAGUAAAUACCGCGUUAUAGAAGUACGGACCAAAGUGCGCCGAUUUCGAAGAGAAGUCGUUUCGACGAACGCUUCGCAAAUGUUUCGAAAAUAUUCGAAAUACGUUCCAGACGCGUUAUACCGUAAACAAUAAAUAAUAAGUUCUUUAGGAAACGUUUGCGAUGUAUUUGCGUCGGCGAAUAUUUCUCACGGCGAGUUUCUGUGGUAGAUAUAUGUAAUAAUGAUGAAAUUACUAAAUAUUCAGAUUUAUAUUUGUAUAUGAUAUGUCUAAUUUUCUUAACGUCACAAACAAUUAAAUUUGAGGCCAUGGCAAUGACGUAAAGUUUUUAGAUAUUCGGAAACGAGUAGCAUAUCAUUUGAAAGUUUGAGUCAUGUUGCCUGGAAAAAUUAUAAUCUCAUUAUAACUGGUAGUUAGAUUAAUUAGCUUACACCAGCAACUCGAUGCUGGGAGCAAACUUUAGAUGAGUAAUCUCGGUUUGUUACUCGGGAGGAUAUUGCAUUUUCUCU